UACCAGCACCCCCGAGUGGUCGGGACGAUUAUUGGGCCUAAAGCAUCCGUAGCCGGCCUUACAAGUCCUCCGUUAAAUCCAGCUGCUUAACAGAUGGGCUGCGGAGGAUACUAUAAGACUAGGAGGCAGGAGAGGCAAGCGGUACUCAGUGGGUAGGGGUAAAAUCCGUUGAUCCAUUGAAGACCACCAGUGGCGAAGGCGGCUCUCUGGGCCUUACCUGACGCUGAGGAGCGAAAGCGUGGGUAGCGAACAGG
rnacentral:rRNA from 1 species